AGUGAACGCUGGCGGUAGGCCUAACACAUGCAAGUCGAACGGCAGCACAGUAAGAGCUUGCUCUUACGGGUGGGGAGUGGCGGACGGGUGAGGAAUACAUCGGAAUCUACUUUUUCGUGGGGGAUAACGUAGGGAAACUUACGCUAAUCCCGCAUACGACCUACGGGUGAAAGCAGGGGAUCUUAGGACCUUGCGCGAUUGAAUGAGCCGAUGUCGGAUUAGCUAGUUGGCGGGGUAAAGGCCCACCAAGGCGACGAUCCGUAGCUGGUCUGAGAGGAUGAUCAGCCACACUGGAACUGAGACACGGUCCAGACUCCUACGGGAGGCAGCGGUGGGGAAUAUUGGACAAUGGGCGCAAGCCUGAUCCAGCCAUACCGCGUGGGUGAAGAAGGCCUUCGGGUUGGAAAGCCCUUUUGGUGGGAAAGAAAAGCAGCAGGUUAAUACCCCGCUGUUCUGACGGUACCCAAAGAAUAAGCACCGGCUAACUUCGUG
rnacentral:rRNA from 1 species